GCUGGAUCCCCUCCUUUCUAAGGAUGUCGGCGGUACGGUCUUUCAGGCUUCUGUCUGAAGACUGUCUUCUGACUUACCUUACAAACUGUUCUUUCCGGCGUGCCGCCGUCUCCGCAUCUCUUCUUAUUGUCCUCGUUCGAUUCGUCGAACGGCGCAGCCGUUUGGGUAACCCAGUUGGGUUUCCAGCCGGUCGCGCGGUUCGUUGAGGGCGGCCAUCUGGGCGUCCUGACGCGGAGGGGCCUGUAGCUCAGUCUGGUUAGAGCGCACGCCUGAUAAGCGUGAGGUCGGUAGUUCAAGUCUACCCAGGCCCACCACGCGCAGAUUGUUUUGGCAGUCGCGCGCCGCGGGGCCGUAGCUCAGCUGGGAGAGCGCCUGCUUUGCAAGCAGGAGGUCGUCGGUUCGAUCCCGUCCGGCUCCACCAUUUUCAUGGUUGCUUCUUCCCUGGCAGCUUCGCUCGAUCACCGGUUCGAUCGCAGGACAGUCAUUGGUUUGUGGCUUUUGCCGGCGCCGGAUCAUUCGGGCGCUGGUUCCACAUUGAGAAAGCGGCUUCCAUCCCUUCUAUGGAUUGUCGCCGCGGGCUCUUCGACAUUGUGAAUAGGUUGUGUGCACUGACCGUGUUGGAUCACGGGCAGGUCGCGUGUUUGCUGGCUUCGGCCGGCGGCGGGCGGCGGCCAUGUGAUCCGCUGGUAGAUUUCGAGUCUGAUGCCGCAGCAUCUUGGGCGUGUGCCCGGGCAGCCUUCGGGCGGUCUUGGCGCUUUCCCCUGUAUGCGGCGGUUUCGUUCGAACAAGCGUGACAAGGGCAUUCGGUGGAUGCCUUGGCGCUGAGAGGCGAUGAAGGACGUAGCACCCUGCGAUAAGCUACGGGGAGGCGGGAGCAGCCUUUGAUCCGUAGAUUUCCGAAUGGGGAAACCCG
rnacentral:misc_RNA from 1 species